CCGACGAUAGCUCAGUUGGCAGAGCGGAGGACUGUAGUGGUUGUGCGCAGCAAUCCUUAGGUCGGUGGUUCAAAUCCGCCUCGUCGGA
rnacentral:tRNA from 1 species